rnacentral:rRNA from 1 species
AGAGUUUGAUCCUGGCUCAGGAUUAACGCUGGCGGUACGUCUAAUACAUGCAAGUCGAACGGAGCACUUGUGCUCAGUGGCGAACGGGUGAGUAACACGUAGGUAACCUGCCCUUAAGACGAGGAUAACCAUUGGAAACGAUGGCUAAUACUGGAUUGAAAGCAGACUCGGCAUCGAGACUGUUUAAAAGAUGCGAUUCGCAUCGCUUAAGGAGGGGCCUGCGGCGCAUUAGUUAGUUGGUAGGGUAAUGGCCUACCAAGACAAUGAUGCGUAGCUGGACUGAGAGGUUGAACAGCCACACUGGGACUGAGAACGGCCCAGACUCCUACGGGAGGCAGCAGUAGAGAAUCUUCGGCAAUGGGGGGAACCCUGACCGAGCGAUACCGCGUGAUUGAAGAAAUACUUCGGUAUGUAAAAAUCUUUUACAAAGGAUGAAUGACCUUAGGAGGAAAUGCCUAAGGAGUGACAGUACUUUAGGAAUAAGCCCCGGCUAACUAUGUGCCAGCAGCCGCGGUAAUACAUAGGGGGCAAGCGUUAUCCGGAAUUAUUGGGCGUAAAGGGUGCGUAGGCGGCUAGUUAAGUUCAUGGUCUAAAUUUAAGGCUCAACCUUAAAAUGCUUUGAAAACUGGCUAGCUUGAGAGAGGUAGAGGCAAGUGGAAUUCCAUGUGUAGCGGUAAAAUGCGUAAAUAUAUGGAGGAACACCAGUGGCGAAGGCGGCUUGCUGGGCCUUAUCUGACGCUGAUGCACGAAAGCGUGGGGAGCAAACAGGAUUAGAUACCCUGGUAGUCCACGCCGUAAACGAUG